GCACAAGCAGCGAGCGUGUGGUUUAAUUCGUUGCUACACGAAGAACCUUUACCUGGGUUUGACAUAAUGGUGGUAGGGAUCCGAAAGGUGACCGACCUUCGGGGAGCCAUUUACAGGUGUUGCAUGGCUGUCGUCAGCUCGUGUCGUGAGAUGUUCGGUUAAGUCCGCUAACGAGCGCAACCCUCGCUGUGUGUUAUAUGUGUCACACAGGACUGCUGGUAUUAAGCCGGAGGAAGUGGGACGACGUCAAGUCAGCAUGACCUUUAUAUCCAGGGCUACACACACGCUACAAUGGUCAGUACAAUGGGUUGCCAAGCCGCGAGGCGGAGCCAAUCCUAAAAAGCUGGCCUCAGUUCAGAUUGCAGUCUGAAACUCGACUGCAUGAAGUCGGAGUUGCUAGUAAACGCAGGUCAGCUAUACUGCGUUGAAUACGUUCCCGGGGCUU
rnacentral:rRNA from 1 species